rnacentral:rRNA from 1 species
AUUGAACGCUGGCGGCAUGCUUUACACAUGCAAGUCGAACGGUAACAGGCCGCAAGGUGCUGACGAGUGGCGAACGGGUGAGUAAUGCAUCGGAACGUGCCCAGUCGUGGGGGAUAACGCAGCGAAAGCUGCGCUAAUACCGCAUACGAUCUAUGGAUGAAAGCGGGGGACCGUAAGGCCUCGUGCGAUUGGAGCGGCCGAUGUCAGAUUAGGUAGUUGGUGGGGUAAAGGCUCACCAAGCCGACGAUCUGUAGCUGGUCUGAGAGGACGACCAGCCACACUGGGACUGAGACACGGCCCAGACUCCUACGGGAGGCAGCAGUGGGGAAUUUUGGACAAUGGGCGCAAGCCUGAUCCAGCAAUGCCGCGUGCAGGAAGAAGGCCUUCGGGUUGUAAACUGCUUUUGUACGGAACGAAACGGCUCUGGUUAAUACCUGGGGCUAAUGACGGUACCGUAAGAAUAAGCACCGGCUAACUUCGUGCCAGCAGCCGCAGUAACAC